rnacentral:tRNA from 1 species
GCGGGUAUAGCUCAGGGGUAGAGCGCGUGCUUAGCAAGCACGACGUCCUGGGUUCAAUCCUCAGUAUCUCUG